rnacentral:misc_RNA from 1 species
GUUAAUUUAAAUAUGUUAAAAUGAUUAUUUAAAUUAUCAAGUUAAUCAUGAAAUUUUUGUUGUUUCUUCCUAAUUUUUUGUUGAAUAAAAGUAUCGAAACAGCAUUAAGUAUAUUCAAUAGUUAUUUUUUUGUGGGAGGCUGGAUGAGCUGUGCUAAAUUUUCCAUUUCGAUAUUGACUAUUUGCUGUUUUGUACUUUACUACAUUCCAGUAUCACGUUUAUACUUUCGUAAAGGAUGUUAUACAUUUAUUGAUUACACAGCAAAAAGCUUGAAAUCAGCACUAGCUUCAUCGGAAAACGAAUUUAAAAACAUGCAAGACGACGAUAAUUACUAUUUGCCAACAAGACAACAACAACAUUUAAAAAAUAUAAAAUCUAAAAAAAAACCAAGGGUUCAAAUAUUAUAUGAAAAUAAUGUAGACAAUAAUUAUCGUGAUUAUGAAAAUACUGAACAAAAAUUGAAGCAAUUAAAUUACGAUUAUAAAUCAAAUAAAAAUAUAAAUGGAAUAAAAAUUGAAGAAAAACUUCGUAAAUUAAGAAGAAGAAUACGUUCAAUAUCAUCAACUCAAGAUCAGUUGGAUCGUGAAAAAAAAGAACAAGAAGCUCUUAAUUUAAUUGAAGAAAUAUUAAAAAAUACAAAACGAAAUAAAACAAGACACCACCAAAAAUACCAAGACUAUUCUGAUAGCAAUGUUAAUAAAAAAGUUGUUAAAAUAAAUGAAAAUAAUUUACGUAAGCUUAUAAAAUCCACAGCAUCAAAGAAGGAAUCACAUUUGCCGAUUAAUGUCGAUGACUUACCCAAGCAGAAUCUUGAAGAAGAAUUUAACUUUGAUGUUGGUGGUGAUGGUGAUGAUGAUGAUGAUGAUGAUUCCUUCAUGCAAACUCCAAUGAUCACAGACAGAGUAACGCCAAUAUUGACGAGUGUAUUUCAUUGGAUAUUUGGCACUGGAUGCCAAAAUGUUUGAUGGAAUUAAAAAAGUAUCAAACUAGUUGAUGCAGUCUAUAUAAAUGAGCACAUUGUGAGACAAAAAAAGAUUUUACAUCUUAGACUACCAGUAUGAGACAGUCGUGCGCGAGAAACCAGACAAGAUACAACAUUCACUUGCUAUAUAUAUAUGCUUGUAUAUGAAAAUUUUUAUUUUAAAUUCAUUACCAAUGCAGUUUUAAUAAAAAAACACAUGUGACCUUAUUUAUUCAUUUGUUAUUCAAUUAAAUAUUUGCUUUUAAUUAUUAUUUCGUUAACUUGUGCAUUAACUGUUUGUUUAUAAAUAAAAUUUAUUAUUGUUUUUUUUUUUUUUUUUGAUAUAUAUAAAAUAUAAAAAACACAAUAUCAUUUAACGAGUGAAAAUAUUUCUUUAGUAUCAUUUCAAUUAUUAUUAUUA